GCGGGAGUGGCGGAAUGGCAUACGCGCCGGACUUAGGAUCCGGUGGGGCGACCCGUGAGGGUUCGAGUCCCUCCUCCCGCACCA
rnacentral:tRNA from 3 species